rnacentral:rRNA from 1 species
UAGGGAAUCUUCCGCAAUGGGCGAAAGCCUGACGGAGCAACGCCGCGUGAGUGAUGAAGGUCUUCGGAUCGUAAAACUCUGUUAUUAGGGAAGAACAAAUGUGUAAGUAACUAUGCACGUCUUGACGGUACCUAAUCAGAAAGCCACGUCUAACUACGUGCCAGCAGCCGCGUUAAUACGUAGGUGUCAAGCGUUAUCCGGAAUUAUUGGGCGUAAAGCGCGCGUAGGCGGUUUUUUAAGUCUGAUGUGAAAGCCCACGGCUCAACCGUGGAGGGUCAUUGGAAGCUGGAAAACUUGAGUGCAGAAGCGGAAAGUGGAAUUCCAUGUGUAGCGGUGAAAUGCGCAGAGAUAUGGAGGAACACCAGUGGCGAAGGCGACUUUCUGGUCUGUAACUGACGCUGAUGUGCGAAAGCGUGGGGAUCAAACAGG